CCCCGCCACACUAGGAAAAGUUAGCUGGAGGCUGAUGUCGCGGGCGUGAAGGGCGAGCGAGCGCUGGAGGAGGAGAUAGGCGUCAGGGUUCCAGGUGAUUCGCUCCUCAGUGAUGGUGAUUUGAGGCUAUUAAUCUCGUUAUCUGAUGAAGUGAGCAGUUGCAGGGAACAAGAAGUGUCAGAUUGCCAGUUUGUUGAUGAACUGAAUCAUGGAAAAUCCUGAGCCAGUUGACAUCGGAGAUAAAGAUGAAGAUACAUUAUUACUCCCAGAUCUGUCAAAUGAGGGGCAUACAGUCAGUGAAAAAAAAAAGCAAGUGGAAAGUAAGGCAUUCAACCAAGCCCUCUUACGAUGGGCACUUUAUAGACUGAACAAGAAUACUCUCAGUGCAAAGGAUCUUCAAAAAGGGCCAUUGUGGUCAUCGGUAUCAUGCUUCGUGCUGUUAGUAUUUGCUACACUUUUUGCUCUGGGCUUUUGGCAGCUUCAGCUCAAGUACCAAAGGGCUUAUUACUAUAUUUUACCCUUUCAUUGUAUAUGUUCAGUUGUGUAUACUGUAACUUCUUUAAGAGGAAUAUAUAUUUUCCAAAAACCUUGUGUGUUCUGGAUUGUGUCUACAUAUUUGAGAUUAACAAAAGAUCCACAUCAUAUUAUCUACAGUGCGAAUGGAGAUGAAAAUGAGUCAAUGGAUGAGGAAGAAAGCUCGAACGAAAAGAUUUCAGAGAGCUAGAAGUGGAAAUAUAUUAUAUUAUAUAUUAUUUUAUCUUCGUUAUAUUUUGUAUAUUCAAACAUCACUAUACUGUAGAGAGAAGUAUUGUCUGCUUGUGCUUCAAAGGAAGCUUCAAGAGUUCAUGUUUCCACGGUAACUUAAUGUCACCGGGAAAAUGCUGUGCUUAACUUUUUAUAUUUUUUUGUGAAAUGUCUCAGCACAUAGAUGUCUCUCCACAAAGGAGUCUAUUAGUAGACCAUGUGACCUUACCAGAUUUCACCUUUCCUUGAAUUAGCGGGAAAACCAUUUUUUUUAGUAAUCUUGUGAAUAUCAAUGGUGUUAUUUUUAUUAUAGACAUUAUAAUUACUAUAAUGUUAUUGACAUUAGUAACAGCAAAAUAAGAUAACAUAAAAUAUUUUGAAAAAUCAAGGAAAAAGGUAAAUGGACGAGACAGGCAGUACUUGUAAUUGGCUCAUUGGUGACUUAGUACAAGUGUAGCCAUCUAUGUGUAAAAACAAUUAAUAUAGUAAACUAAGUGGGCAUGGCAUGGAUGUACAUGCCAUGCCUGAUGGAUUUGGGUUAAGCUUACCUUAAUUUUUAGUGCUUGGUUCAUAUGCUUUUCAUAUCAGAAACUGUUGUGAGUAUCAGAUAGGAAGUGAUAAGGUUAGCUUAUUUUUUUUAUUACUGAUGAUCGGUCAUCAAAAAGUGCCUUUUUAUAGGGACAUUUCAUACUGUGAUUGCAAGUUCCAGGCAAUGUACCUGAAAGAAUGGAAAUGUAUUGUGAUAAAUAUGUAAAAGAGAAAAUAUCUUUAUUGAGACAGACUUGUAAAAUAGUAGCUUGCUAUUUUUAAUCAAUUCAAUUGAUUUCAUACUUACAUAUUAAUGUAUACUUUAUAUAUAUAUAUAUAUAUAUUUAUGUAUAACCUUAUAUGCUUGUUUUAAUUGUAAGAAAUGAAAAUACACACUAUUUUCAUCACUCAAUCAAACCAGCUUAAGGAAAGAGUUAAUUGUUAUAGAAUAAGCUUUGUUACUUGUUUAUCAUUAAAAAAAUAUUUUCUAUGUAGAUAAUACAGUUUGUUUCCUUUUCUACAAAUGAACUUCAAAUACCGUUUAUUAUCUUUUAUCAUUAUGUUUCAUAACGUGCAGUAUUCCCUCCUCUGUUCCUUUAAGAUUUACAAUGUCCAUAAAUACAUUAAACUCAUGACUGGUUUUAAUGAAGCCAAACAAGAACCAAAAUAUUCUGCAUGAAGCUUAAGAUAUUACUGAUAUAAGGGUUGGCAGAUGUGCAAGAUAUCUCACAUAUAGAUAUCCUAGAAAAUUAUUCUAGUAAAUUUUCAUAUUUUUCUGUA